UCUAUGAUUCUGUGAACUCAAAACUGUGAUCUGAAUCUGCCUCCCAUGUUUCAAUUCUCUUUUGUUCUCCCAAAAUCUUUAUGGGUUCUUCAUAAAGCUUCAGCAGGAGGUGCAGAGUAUUUUCAACUCCAGUACAGACUCCUGAAAUUUCAAACAUGCAAAUCAAUUCCAAACGCUUGGAUCUUGUGAAGUUAAGCAACCAGUGUUUUGGAGAUUUUCUAAUUUCAGCAUGAAGAAUCUUAAGAACAGAGGCCCUUAGAGUAUUGACAGCCUGCCAUCAAAGAGAAGUGGUGUUCUUGCCUGUAUUGCCUGUAAAGUUGCCCCUAAACAGUUAUCACCUGCAAAAUGUGCCCUGUGCCAUCAGUAAACUGAGUUCCAGUUGUGCAGGGCCAGGUGGGGUUGAAAUCAUGGAAAAUAUGCUGCAGAGAGAUGUUCCCUAUCACUAGGGGUGAGAGGAGAUGAAGGAGUCUUUCCAGGAGGGUAUAAGAAACACUUGGAUACUGGUGAUCAGGUUCUGAGGAGGUUCUCCCAAUGUCAAGCUGUCCUUGUCCUGGUUUCUGGCCCUGCUAUCCUUAUCAAUGGAGUACACGUGUUAGCAGCAGGUCUCACAGAUAUUUUCUGGCAAGACAGUCAGUGCUAAACCCGGAGUUUGGGGGUUUUCCAUGAUUUGAGCAAAAUACAACUGGACAGUUGGACUCUGCACUCCUGGGCUGCUUCAGUCCAGCUCCUCCUGUCUCCACGUGUGACUUACCUUCUCCCAUCCAUAUCUU